rnacentral:rRNA from 1 species
CAGCCGCCGCGGGAAAACGAAGGGGGCUAGCGUUGUUCGGAAUUACUGGGCGUAAAGCGCACGUAGGCGGACAUUUAAGUCAGGGGUGAAAUCCCGGGGCUCAACCCCGGAACUGCCUUUGAUACUGGGUGUCUAGAGUAUGGAAGAGGUGAGUGGAAUUCCGAGUGUAGAGGUGAAAUUCGUAGAUAUUCGGAGGAACACCAGUGGCGAAGGCGGCUCACUGGUCCAUUACUGACGCUGAGGUGCGAAAGCGUGGGGAGCAAACAGGAUUAGAUACCCCCGUAGUCCCUGUCUCUUAUAC